AGCGAACGUUAGCGGCGGGCCUAACACAUGCAAGUCGAGCGAGAAAGUGGCUUCGGCCAUCAGUAAAGCGGCGGACGGGUGAGUAACACGUAGGUAAUCUUCCCUUGAGCGGGGGACAACGAGCCGAAAGGCUCGCUAAUACCGCAUAAGUUCAUAGGGACUCCGGUCUUUAUGAGGAAAGCUAGGUAGCAAUAUCCGGCACUCGAGGAGGAGCCUGCGUCGCAUCAGCUAGUUGGUGGGGUAACGGCCUACCAAGGCGAAGACGCGUAGCUGGUCUGAGAGGAUGAUCAGCCACACUGAAACUGAGACACGGUUCAGACUCCUACGGGAGGCAGCAGUGGGGAAUAUUGGACAAUGGGCGCAAGCCUGAUCCAGCCACGCCGCGUGAGUGAUGAAGGCCUUC
rnacentral:rRNA from 1 species